rnacentral:rRNA from 1 species
AUGCUUUCCGACGAGCUUCUCCGGUCUCUGUCCCGCUCCCGCUCGACCUCGCCGCCCAACUCCCCCAUGCCGCGUGCUCCUCCGCGUGAGCACUGGUUGGACCGCUACUACCGGGAGGUCGAGGCGGAGCGCACCAUCCCCUUCUCGGUGCGUCCUCCCACUUUGUUCCCACGCGGGGCCCCGCCCUCGUGCGGCUCUUCCUCGUCCGCAAGCCCCCCGCCCCCGCCGGCUCCAGAGAUGGAGGCUCCGCCCACCCAGCUGCCGCCUCAGGGCGCCGCCGGGCUCCGCCGGCCGGAGUACACUGAGGUCUUCAUGCCUAUGGUGGUCGACAUGGCGCACUCCCGCCGCUUUUCCUACGCCCUCGUCGACCCGGCUUCCUCCAGUUCGGGCGACCUCCUCCGUCGGGCCCUGGAGCAGCGCGCCGGCAACCCCUCCGUCGGUCUUGCUGCCUCCCACUAUGGCGCCAUGAUGAUCGUCUUCUCCUCCGAGAGCGCUCGGGAGCAGGCCAUGCAGCACUUCCCCAUGUCGUUCGCCGGGCACGUCAUCACCCUCGAGCGCCUGGAGAACGGGGAAAACCGCUUCGGGUGGGAAUACACCUGCUUCACCCAACUCUCGGCCAUCGGCUUCCCCCUCGAGCACUGGCACGAGGGUGGGAUCCGCAACGCCUUCCGCUCCAUCGGCAACGUCUGCUGCAUCGACCCCCUUUGCCUCAACGACCUCGACUUCUCUGCCGUGCAUCUUGUCAUCCGCUUGUAG